CCGUGCUAAGGUAGCAUAAUCAUUUGCUUCUUAAUUGGCAGCUGGAAUGAAAGGUUAAACUAACUUAGCUAGUUUGGUUUUCUAAUUAGGAGCUUUAAGUCAAGGUAAAAAUUCUUUGAUAGGCUAGGGGACGAUAAGACCCUAGAAGCUUAAUAAUAAGAUAGGGUAUUAGUUAUACCAAGAAUUUUGUUUUACUGGGGCGGUAAGUAUGUUUAAACCAUUUAGGUUUUAGCUGAGCCCCUAUAUAGGGAUAGGUU
rnacentral:rRNA from 1 species